rnacentral:rRNA from 1 species
AGUGAACGCUGGCGGCAGGCCUAACACAUGCAAGUCGAACGGCAGCACGGCAGUAGCAAUACUGUGGGUGGCGAGUGGCGGACGGGUGAGGAAUACAUCGGGAUCUACCCUGUUGUGGGGGAUAACGUAGGGAAACUUACGCUAAUACCGCAUAAGAACUGAGGUUGAAAGCGGCGGACCGCAAGGCGUCGCGCGAUUGGAUGAACCGAUGUCCGAUUAGCUAGUUGGCGGGGUAAAGGCCCACCAAGGCGACGAUCGGUAGCUGGUCUGAGAGGACGACCAGCCACACUGGAACUGAGACACGGUCCAGACUCCUACGGGAGGCAGCAGUGGGGAAUAUUGGACAAUGGGCGCAAGCCUGAUCCAGCCAUGCCGCGUGGGUGAAGAAGGCCUCGGUUGUAAGCCUUUGUCCGGAAGAAAGACAUCGGUUAAUACCGGUGUUCUGACGGUACCGGAGAAUAAGCACCGGCUAACUUACGUGUCCAGCAGCCGCGGUAAAACGUACGUACUA